rnacentral:lncRNA from 1 species
CAUGGGGUGGGAGUGGGGUAGAGUUCUAAGAAGGGUAGAAAAAGAGAACCAGCAUGUUUGGGCAUGGCAUUUAGUACUUAGAACCACCCUGUGAGGUGGAUGUUUUUAUCCCCACUUUACAGAUGAGAAAACAGAGACUGUUUCUCUGACUGAGUCUGAGUUAAGUGGCUUGUGAGAGGCAGAAUCCGAAUUAGGACUCAGGUAUACGUGACUCCAAAGCUCUCCUCGUUCUGUCCCAUGAUUAAACUUGCCCUCAUUUGGGCUCCAGAGAUAGGUCAUAAUACAUUAUUUGGCCCCAUUAGACUUUGAGCUCCUCAGCAGCCAAUCUCAUUCUUAUCUGUGUUCAUGGCAUUUCCAUUGCAUCGGACACCUAGGUACUCGGUCGCUAGAGGUGGAACAAGUGAGAGAAUGAAUGAAGGAUGCCCUGUGAUUUGCAUAUUGUAACAAACACUGUCUAUUUCAGAGUUAUUAAGUAAAAUCACCUGUCACUUGUCCCUAAUGAUAAUUUGUAUCUUUUCUGUUUGUUUUUUUCUCCAAAGUCGAGAGGCACGAUGAUUAGGUGUCCAACUAUAAUUUUGGUGCUCAGAGAGACAAUGAUUAAAUCUGCCAGGCUACCAGCGAUGCUGACAUGUUUUGCACAACUGGUGUUUGAGCAGAGAUCGACAUUGAUUUGAUGUCGCCAGGUCAUCCUCUGGCAAGACCCAAGACAUUUUGUGUGCCCUUAAUAGGAAUUUAAGCUUGCUUUAGCCCACGUCAUUUGUAAUCGUCAGAACGACAUGAACGUGGACAUAUUGAGAUGCAUGGCCCCACUGUGCAUGAAGUCUGAAGGUCGUCAGAAGAGAGGAGGAGUUGAGGACAUCGGGGACACUCCUGUACCUGAAGAGGAUUCUGAUAGAGCUCAAGCAUCAGGUGAGGAGGCGUGGCAUCGUUACAGCCUGAGAAAGGAAUUGGAAACAGUGGCCUGGAGAAAGAGAGGAUAAUGAAUAGGUUGCAGUUCUAAAGAGGCAUCAGAAUGCCAGGCCUGCCGUCGUCAACCCCGUGGUACACCCCAAAAUAAAAGAAAAUGCGUUCUUGGUCUCCCUCCUCCA